rnacentral:snRNA from 1 species
AUGUUUUUGUGUGCGUCUUAAUGAAUAAAAAGUCUGUUCUUAUCAGCUUAAUAUCUGUGACGGAUCCUACUUGGAUCCAAGAUAUUAAACUUAUUUUUGUGAUGCGGCGGAGUGCUUGAAGCUUUCUUCACCUCCGCCACGGGUCGGCCUGUUAUCGUACUACCUCCGGCCUUGGCCCACUCACC